rnacentral:rRNA from 1 species
UACGUAGGUGGCAAGCGUUGUCCGGAUUUACUGGGCGUAAAGGGCGUGCAGGCGGUCUGUUAAGUUCAGGGUGAAAGCUCCCGGCUCAACUGGGAGAGGUCCUUGGAUACUGGCAGACUUGAGGGAGGUAGAGGAGAGUGGAAUUCCCGGUGUAGUGGUGAUAUGCGUAGAUAUCGGGAGGAACACCAGUGGCGAAGGCGGCUCUCUGGGCCUUUCCUGAUGCUGAGACGCGAAAGCGUGGGGAGCGAACCGG